rnacentral:misc_RNA from 1 species
AAGUCGUAACAAGGUCUUCGUAGGUGAACCUGCGAAGGGAUCAUUAAAGAGAUAGGGUUCUCACGAGCCCGACCUCCAACCCUUUGUCUACCAAACCACUGUUGCCUCGGCGGGCCCGCCGGUGCCUUUCGUAGGCGCCGCCGUCGGCCCUUGCGCUCUCGAGUGCCCGCCGCAGGACCAUGUAAACUCUUUUUAAACAAGUAUAAUCUGAGUGGAUAUCUAAUGCUUCAAUUAAAA